ACUAAACAAGUUUGGAAUGUGUUAUAUAAAUUCAACAAACGUCAAUUAUGAGUUAAUUUCCCACAGUUAAAUCUAGCAAUAAGAGCUACAAUGCUAAUAUUUGUGUAAACUCUUCACAGUUGUGUUCUGUGGGUGUCAAGAUCCAUAGGUAAGGCUGUACAUUGUAAUAUGAACGUUCGACACGUACAUGAGGUGAAUUCCCACAGUUAAAGUCCCGCAAUAAGUCCUACGACGCUAAUAUUUGUGAAACUCAGUACAUAUAAGUAUGCCCCAAUGCAAUUCUGAAGUCUAAUACAUCCACAGUGCGAUUUCAACUGAUUUGUUCUUUUUUCAAAUUAACAAAUUAUUGUAUUUUGCUGAAUUUAUAUAACAAAUAUUGCUUUAUAUAACAACAUGCCAUUUCUAACCUUGUUUAGAAUUACCUAGUCUAAUUGUGUCAUGAGUCCACUAUUUAUAUCCGUUUGCAUGUUUCAAUAGGAUACUUUUAUUUUGAAGGCGAACCACCGAUUCCACUAUUGUUGCUCACGCUAAUGUUGUUCAUGACACACGUGUGCACAAUGACUGAAUAUAAUGUUCCCUUCCCACCAAUACUAUUCCCAAACGAUUAGCCUCAACUCCCAAAUAACUAUGCAUUGUGAAAGUAUUUGCGUAGCCUAUCCGCACAAUGCAUAGCUGAGACUGGAUAUCCAUUCAGCGGCAGCAUUUAUAACAUUGUAGAUUCAUUCACGUCUUUGUGCGAAUCUGAAAAAAGAUAAGUCAAUAUACAUCAUUUCCGGUGUGAAGAAAACAAUCACCACAAUGGCGCAAUCCAGUGUUUUUAGCUUCAGACACAAGUCGACAUGAGAUUUAUAAAAUAUUUUAAAGUAGGCUAGUUGUCAUAAACAACAGGAAGGGACGCUGGCUUGUAAUAAUGAUGUUAUAAGCACAUGUCAAGUGCUAAUUCGCUCAGGGAAAACGAGCAAUAUUUGUCACAUAUCGAGGUGAGCAGCAGCAUCCUUGCUCACGAGGACACAUGCUUCUGCCUCGAGACGAGAGGCACCAGCACCAGGGUCUGACUCUGAUAAAGAUACCAAAUCUGAGAGCCAUCGACCUUGCACGCAAAAUUCGCCAGGAGAAACAGAAAGGAAAGGCAACUGGUGUGGGUCAGAAGAGACUGUCCCUUAUCCUCGGUGCCAGUUGCCGCGUUCAUAUGCUAGUAGGAACUAGGAAACUUGGAAAUGUCCUACUUGCUAAAUGGUUGUAGUUCUACACGUGCCGCGUUCAACCAGUUAGCAAGUCGGAAAUUUCGUAGUUCCGACUAGCAUGUGAAUGCGGCAAGUGUCCCCACUGCUAAAAGAGGGUCAUCGAGCUGCGACAGUUCACUCAGCAGCUGAGUAAUGUUCACCCCAACGUUCUGGCCAAGCACAUUCACAGAGGUCUGAUCCUUCCACAUCCAGAGCUCGGUGUCAUCAAUAAGCCAUAUGGAGUUUCUGUUCAAGGUAUUGGGUGUUGUAGCAAUGUAUUUACAUGCCUAUUACAUUAUGGUACAUUAGGCUUAUAUGAUCAAACACACAGUCAAGGAUUAUACAGUCAAGGAUUAUGUCAUGAAAGAGAUUGUUCAUUUGAAAGUCACUUGUACAAAAUACACCCUAAUACCCUGAGCAGUGGUCAAAUUCACUGUGAUUUAAAUCCAAUAAUCUUCCGCCUAGAUGGGUCAAAGGACAAAAACAAUAUCAUGGAUGUCUUCCAGUCCUUGCCAAGGUGCUGGAUGGCAUGAGGGCUGGGUCCCACUCCCAGCUGCAAGUCUGCCUUGGAUUGGACAAGGAGACAACAGGGACCCUCCUGCUGGCAAGGACUGAGGAAGCACUGGGCUAUGUACAAAACCUCCACAAAAACAACCAAGUGGAGAGGAAAUAUUGGUGUGUGGAUGUCUAAUGUCUAUGGGUGUUUAGAGAUUUAGUUUAAUAUAAGGUUCCAGUCAGCACAUCAUUCACUUUUCAAAACCACCAAUUGAGGGCAGCAACUGAGAAUAUGCCAUAGAGUUAUUGUAAUGACCCUGCCAUUGAUAAGAUAUGAUUGACAUCCCUGUCAUAGAGAGAGAAGUCACAGGGACAGUAGAGUGCACAACUCCUGUCAUUUUUGUAUUGGUGGCUUUCAGCAGAUACUGAGAUGUCCUUCAGAUUUUGAAGUUGGCAUCUGUUAUAGAACCUGUAUUUGUACAUAAUGUAUUGUGUAAUUGUAUACACCUAACCGCCCAUAACCCCUCUCAUAUGGGCCUGAGUCCUGUGUACAGGGUGAGUGACUAAAGUGCAGGCCAAUCGGCAGGCCCAGGGGGCAGUGACCCAGUACCGUGUCCUGGACAGCAGUAACGGCUGCAGCCUUGUGGAGCUCCACCCCAUCACAGCUCUGGGAUGUCAUAUCAUUGGGGACCACAAAUACUCCCACUGGACAAAACUUCCACCUCAGAAACUGCGGGAUGGUGUGUUACGGAGGCUGGGAUUAGAACAAAGCAAGGCACGUCACCUUCCGCUCCACCUGCUCGCACAUCAGCUGACACUGUCAGAGAUAUCACUGUGUCCUGCCCGCUGCUGAAGUAGUUCACCAGCACCCUGCGACAACUGCAGAUCCCCAUUCCAGAUAAGAAAGAGGAUGAACGGUGCAUCAGUGGCUCCUAUGCAGAGCAGACAGAAUACAGAAGACUUUUGCUUCAGAAAUAUGAAGCGGCAUCACUUCAAGUGACCCUUGACAUUUACAUUUUAGUCAUUUAGCAGAUGCUCUUAUCCAGAGCGACUUACAGUUAGUGAGUGCAUACAUUUUCAUACUGGCCCCCCGUGGGAAUCGAACCCACAACCCUGGCGUUGCAAGCGCCAUGCUCUACCAACUGAGCUACAAGGAGGCCUAAUGGUUGUUCAAGUCCAUACCUGGAAUUAUAAAAUAGCAUUUAUAUUGUAACAGUACUUUUCUGAUUUCACAUGCUAGGAUCCUAUUUGUUGUUCAAUUCCCAUAGGAAAGGCAACAGAGUUAGUUAUUUGAAGACUAAACAUUUCUCUUUUGUAGGUUCCUAUGCAGACUUUUGCCUACCAGAGGAUCUCACCUGAGAGAAAAGGGGGUGGCGGUUCAGAUAUCUCACUAUUUCUUCGAAUCAGUACUGAAUAGUAGUCUGCUUAAUUACCGGCACAUGUCCCAGUCAUGUGUGAAUACUGCAGCAUUUAACCUACUGCAUUGUGAACACAACAUCGGAGCUAAGACUUGACUGAAACUCUUAAAAAGGUACACCGUCUCUCAGUCAUUCACAGUACAAAGGCACGUUUGAAAACACAGGCUUUCUUAUUUAGCCUCCAAUACCACUAGAAUAUCAAUACAUACAGGAGAUAAUAAAUGCCAAUAAAAAAAAAAGUUACAAAAAGUGAGCAGAGGUCCCAUUAAAUGUCUGUUGGUGUGUAAUCCACUCUGCUCUUGGCUCCUGUCCUGUCUGGGACCUGAGAGCUUGGAGGACAGAGGCGCAGGAGGGUCCGCGUGAGGGCAAACAUGUUAAAGGGGGUAAAUGUCCACAUACGCUCCCCUAUGUAUUUAUUUGGACAGUGAAGCUAAAAUGUGUACAUUUGUCCCUAUACUCCAGCAUUUUGGAUGACAUCAAAUG